ACGGGGCUAAACCAUGCACCGAAGCUGCGGCAGCGACGCUGAUGCGUUGUUGGGUAGGGGAGCGUUCUGUAAGCCUGUGAAGGUGGCCUGUGAGGGUUGCUGGAGGUAUCAGAAGUGCGAAUGCUGACAUAAGUAACGAUAAAGCGGGUGAAAAGCCCGCUCGCCGGAAGACCAAGGGUUCCUGUCCAACGUUAAUCGGGGCAGGGUGAGUCGACCCCUAAGGCGAGGCCGAAAGGCGUAGUCGAUGGGAAACGGGUUAAUAUUCCCGUACUUGGUGUUACUGCGAAGGGGGGACGGAGAAGGCUAUGUUGGCCGGGCGACGGUUGUCCCGGUUUAAGCGUGUAGGUGUGUGUUCCAGGUAAAUCCGGUUCACUUUAACACUGAGGCGUGAUGACGAGGCACUACGGUGCUGAAGCAACAAAUGCCCUGCUUCCAGGAAAAGCCUCUAAGCAUCAGGUAACAUCAAAUCGUACCCCAAACCGACACAGGUGGUCAGGUAGAGAAUACCAAGGCGCUUGAGAGAACUCGGGUGAAGGAACUAGGCAAAAUGGUGCCGUAACUUCGGGAGAAGGCACGCUGACAUGUAGGUGAAGUGAUUUACUCAUGGAGCUGAAGUCAGUCGAAGAUACCAGCUGGCUGCAACUGUUUAUUAAAAACACAGCACUGUGCAAACACGAAAGUGGACGUAUACGGUGUGACGCCUGCCCGGUGCCGGAAGGUUAAUUGAUGGGGUCAGCGCAAGCGAAGCUCCUGAUCGAAGCCCCGGUAAACGGCGGCCGUAACUAUAACGGUCCUAAGGUAGCGAAAUUCCUUGUCGGGUAAGUUCCGACCUGCACGAAUGGCGUAAUGAUGGCCAGGCUGUCUCCACCCGAGACUCAGUGAAAUUGAACUCGCUGUGAAGAUGCAGUGUACCCGCGGCAAGACGGAAAGACCCCGUGAACCUUUACUAUAGCUUGACACUGAACAUUGAGCCUUGAUGUGUAGGAUAGGUGGGAGGCUUUGAAGUGUGGACGCCAGUCUGCAUGGAGCCG
rnacentral:rRNA from 1 species